rnacentral:rRNA from 1 species
ACAAUGGAGAGUUUGAUCCUGGCUCAGGAUGAACGCUAGCUACAGGCUUAACACAUGCAAGUCGAGGGGAAACGAUAGAGAAAGCUUGCUUUUUCUAGGCGUCGACCGGCGCACGGGUGAGUAACGCGUAUCCAACCUGCCCAUCACUUGGGGAUAACCUUGCGAAAGUAAGACUAAUACCCAAUGAUAUCUCAAGAAGACAUCUGAAUGAGAUUAAAGAUUUAUCGGUGAUGGAUGGGGAUGCGUCUG